UGUUUUGAACGAGAGAUGAUUCAGUUGUCUCUUCGUUAAGAAGAACAGUCGAGGUAUAGCAAGGCCGAGAUAUCGUUUCAGUCGUCAUUUCUCUGGAUUGACGAUUCGAUUGUUGCUCGUCCACAU